rnacentral:rRNA from 1 species
CCUACGGGUGGCAGCAGUCGAGAAUCAUUCACAAUGGGGGAAACCCUGAUGGUGCGACGCCGCGUGGGGGAAUGAAGGUCUUCGGAUUGUAAACCCCUGUCAUGUGGGAGCAAAUUAAAAAGAUAGUACCACAAGAGGAAGAGACGGCUAACUCUGUGCCAGCAGCCGCGGUAAUACAGAGGUCUCAAGCGUUGUUCGGAAUCACUGGGCGUAAAGCGUGCGUAGGCUGUUUCGUAAGUCGUGUGUGAAAGGCGCGGGCUCAACCCGCGGACGGCACAUGAUAAUGCGAGACUAGAGUAAAGGAGGGGGAACCGGAAUUCUCGGUGUAGCAGUGAAAUGCAUAGAUAUCGAGAGGAACACUCGUGGCGAAGGCGGGUUCCUGGACAUUAACUGACGCUGAGGCACGAAGGCCAGGGGAGCGAAAGGGAUUAGAUACCCGAGUAGUG